rnacentral:lncRNA from 1 species
AUACCCUUUGAUAUACCCUAAGGGUCUUAAGAAAUAAGUCAAAGUAUAACUCAUCAUACACAAGAUAUUAUGAUGAUCUCAAGUCCAAGGAUCACUUGUACUACUAUCACUACAGGAAUUCCUAUUGACAGACAAGUAAAACUCCAUUAGGUAUUCCUUAGCGAGCCACGUUCAGUGAACUUAUUCUCUAAUAAGCACCUACAUACUUGCU